ensembl:lncRNA
UUUAUUCAGACAGACGGUCAAUUAUAAAGUGAGAUUCACUGCAGCAGGUGUGGCCACAGGUGUGUGUGUGUUUUACUUCAAGAGUUUAAAUAGCCAACCACAACCACACACACUCCUUUAAACCACAAGUUUACCAGAAGACGAGGAAGGUGACACCAUCAGGUAAGUCUUCUUCUCUCUUCUCCUCCUCCCGUUACCUCUCCUCUCCUCCUCACCACUCUUCUUCUCUCAUCCUCUCCUCUCCUCCUACUAUCUCUUCUCUUUUCUCCUCCUCCCAUUACCUCUCCUCUUCUCCUCCUGUCUUCUCCUCCCGUUACCUCUCUUCUCCUCUCCCCUCACUUCUCUCCUCUCCUCCUCACCACUCUUCUUCUCUCAUCCUCUCCUCUCCUCCUACUAUCUCUCCUCUUCUCCUCCUAUCUUCUCCUCCUCCUGUUACCUCGCUUCUCCUCUUUUCUCCUCCUCCUGUUACUUCUCUUCUCUUCUCCUCUCCUUACCUCUCCUCUCCUCCUCUUCUCCUUCUCUCUUCUCCUCCCGUUACCUCUCUUCUCCUCUCCUCCUCCUCUCCUUACUUCUCCUCCUCUUCUCCUUCCCUCUUCUCCUCGUUUCUCUCUUUACCUCUUCUCCUCGUUUCUCUCGUUACCCCUCUCCUCUUCUCCUCCCGUUACCUCUCUACCUCUCCUCUUCUCCUCUCCUCCCCCUCUUCUCCUUCCCUCUUCUCCUCUCCUCCUCCUCUUUCCUCCACUCUUCUCCUUUCUUUAUUUAGAGGGACCUUGUAUCAUGCAGGUCCAUUUCAACUGGUGAACAUGUUACAGGACAUUACAGGACACAAUACCUGACAGUGAGAGACGACAUGAUGAAGAUCAAACUGCUUCUGCUGAUCUGGACUGCAUCUGUGAACAGCCUGCCGUGGCAAGCCUCCCCCCUGUCUGGCGUCAGCCCCUGGGGGAUAGGAGCGGGUCACGAGAGAGGAGAGGACCCAGACGGCAGCUCAGCCCGGACUGGCCAGGACAGUAGAAAGGGGUGGGGUCUCGCCUUAGAGGGGUUUCCGGGAGUCACGCCUACCACGUUCCCUCAACCAACCAGAGGACAGGACAGUGGCCCCUCUCCCAGACCUACUUACGUGAGGAGGGGGCGUAGUCUCAAGGUUGAUGACAUCGCCAGCAAUGACAUUACAGAGGAGGAGCUGACAACGUCCUAUAAAACUCUUCCUGGUUACAGUGAGGACCGGUUGCUAGGGGAGGAGUUUGGUGAUUAUGGGAUGCAGAGGGACUCACCCGGCAGUGAAUCGCAUACCGGGAAAGACUCGACAGAUCACAAUGACUCCUCCAAAUCAAGUGAUUCAGUUGACUCUAACACCUCUAGUGAUUCAAGCGAUUCCUCCAAGUCAAGUGACUCUAACACCUCUAGUGAUUCAAGCGAUUCCUCCAAGUCAAGUGACUCUAGUGAUUCAAGUGAUUCCAGCGACUCAAGUGAUUCAAGUGACUCUAGCGACUCUAGCGAUUCAAGCGACUCUAGCGACUCUAGCGACUCUAGUGACUCUAGUGAUUCUAGCGACUCUAGCGACUCAAGCGAUUCUAGCGACUCAAGUGAUUCUAGCGACUCAAGUGAUUCUAGCGACUCAAGUGAUUCUAGCGACUCUAGCGACUCAAGUGAUUCUAGCGACUCAAGUGAUUCUAGCGACUCAAGUGAUUCUAGCGACUCAAGUGAUUCUAGCGACUCAAGUGAUUCUAGCGACUCUAGCGAUUCAAGUGACUCUAGUGAUUCAAGUGACUCUAGUGAUUCAAGUGAUUCUAGCGACUCAAGUGAUUCUAGUGACUCAAGUGAUUCUAGCGACUCCAGCGACUCAAGUGACUCUAGUGAUUCAAGUGACUCUAGUGAUUCAAGUGACUCUAGUGAUUCAAGUGAUUCUGGCAAUACAAGUGAGUCAAGCAACUCUAGUGAUUCUAAGUGAUUCUAAAAGUUAAAGUGAAUCAAUCUCCACAGACAAAUAACGGCAGUGACUCUAGUACCAGCUAGGCAGCGAGAGACAGAGAGGAGAGAGAGACAACAAGACAGAGAAAGACAGAGGAAGAGAGAGAGAGAGAGAGAGAGACAGAGAGAGAGAGAGAGACAGAGAGGGAGAGAACAAGACAGAGAGAGAGAGAGAGAGAGACAGAGAGAGAGAACAAGAGAGAGAGAGAGAGAGAGCGAGAGAGAGAACAAGACCGAGAGAGAGAGAGAACAAGACAGAGAGAGAGAGAGAACAAGACAGAGAGAGAGAGAACCAGAGCCAGAUGUCAUACUAUGUCUCAAGCUUGUAGGACUGCGAUAGUACCUUUUUAUAUAGAUUAUAGAUAUAUUUUAUAUAGAUAUCUGAUGUGCUUUUCUACGUGUGUCUCAUUUUACAGUUGUGUUUUUCAUGUUUACUAGUAAAUAAAGUGUUCCACAAUAAAACACUGGCCAAGUGACUUAUGUAACGUAGAGGCCUUUUAAAUGGGUUUAUAUGAUCACACACACACACUUAAAUUUAAACUUACAUUUCAAUUUAAUUUUCAAUGACAUCAUUGUUGUGCUUUGUGUGAUUUUAACCACGUAGGCAUUGCCUCCUG